rnacentral:lncRNA from 10 species
CGCAGGGAGCUCUUCCCACCACUAGACCUGAAUGAAGCAUCGAGGAGCCAUUCUUGGAAGCCAGGGAGGGGAGUGGAAUGGAAAGGGCUGCCUGGCAGGAGCUGUAUCUCUGGGUAGAGGGACACAGCCAACCUGCAGGAACCAGCAGAGAAGGGGCCAGGAACAUACUCUGAUCUUACCUCCUCCUUCCUCUCUCCUGCCAGUACUCUUGGACCUAGAAACACAUUUUGUCCAGGAAAGCAGUUUCAAGUGAGUGAGUUACGUUGAAUGCUCUGAAAGAAUAAUGCAACUUCUGGAAAUCCCAUGGUAUCAGCCAAAGUUGUCAAUGAAUCAAAAAUCAACUUUGAGGAAUGUUUUGAAAUUCAAAGUAUAUAGAAAACAUCACACUCUAUGCCUUCGUAUGCAGAAAAACCAUAAAGAAAGAAAACUGGCCUGGCAUGGUGGCUCAUGCCUGUAAUCCCUACACUUUGGGAGGCCAAGGUCGGCAGAUCACCUGAGGUUGGGAGUUCAAGACCAGCCUGACCAACAUGGAGAAACCCCAUCUCUACUAAAGACACAAAAUUAGCCAGGUGUGGUGGUGCAUGCCUGUAAUCCCAGCUAGUUGAGAGACCAAGGCAGAAGAAUCACUUGAACAGAGGUUGCCCCAAGCUGAGAUUGUGCCAUUGCACUCCAGCCUGGGCAACAAGAGCAAAACUCCACCUCAAAAAAAAAAAAAAAAAAAGAAGAGAACUGAUAGAAAGAACUGGCACUCAAAUGCCUACCUUUGACUUAACAACAACAACAAAAAAACAAACAGACAACAUUUGACACAGAGUACAUCCUCUGAACAUCUUUACUAACUAGCAAUAAACUUAUUUUAUAAAUACUGCCUCACUGAGGACCAAGUCUGAGCCAACUUAGAUACCUUCACUAUGAAUGAUGCCUUUCUAAGAAGGACUACAAAGAUCAGAGAAAGGCCAGUCCUCGUCUGGGUAGUCUGGUGUCUGAAGCAAGAAUUUUUCUUCGUGCCUAACCCAUGGCUCUAGUCAAGUACCUCACACUUGUUCUGAUCCUCCUACUUGGAGGAAAAUAUUUAUCAUUAGAACUCACUGGACAUCUGUAUUCUUUUGAUGAUAUGGUUUGGCUGUGUCCCCACCCAAAUCUCAUGUUGAAUUCCCACGUGUGUGGGAGGGACCUGAAGAGAAGUAAUUGAAUCAUGGGGGCAGGUCUUUCCCAUGCUGUUCUUGUAAUAGUGAGUAAGUCUCAUGAGAUCUGAUGGUUUUAAAAAGAGGAGUUCCCCUGCACAAGCUCUCUCUUGUCUGCUGCCUCCCAGGAAUAACACAGAAGGGAAUCCUGCAUUUAUUGAGCAGGGCGUUGGAAUGCAAAACUUUAAGAUACUUUAACUGUGAAAUUCUUGGAAGCAUUCAUCAUCCUGUGGAAAGCUAAAUUCAAUGAGGUCAGGAAAUCCAAAUGCAGGAAGAAAAAUGAAAACUUCAGCUAAAAUCAUUACAGUGGUUAAGGAUCAGCCAGCAGAGAGAGGAGAAGAGGAGAUGCAGCUGGAUGUCAGAAACUACCGUUGGAGAGAAGCAGCUUGACUUCAGAGGGACAGGUUGAUGGCACAGCUUUGGAGAGGGGUUUGGCCAUCCCCAGCCAGACUCCAGAGAAAGAUUACCUUCUCCUAAUCCGUCCCCUUUGCAGCUCCCCUUCCUGCUGAGAGCCACCUUCAUCGGCAAUAAAAUCCCCCACAUUGACCAUCCUUCUAAUUCAUGUAUGCAACAUUCUUCCUGGAUGCCAGAAAAGAACUCAGGUGUGGGUGCAAAAGGCUGUCACACUGACCCUCUACUGAGCUGUUAACACUUAAGCUGUCCAUGGAUGGCAAAGCUAAAAGAGCACCGACUAUAACACUCCUUCUGGGGCUUCAGGGGUCAUGGGCACCCUCAAGACACUGCCACAGGACCGGCACAAAGUUUGUUUCUGCUGGCACCCCAAAACGCCCACCCCAGCUCGUGCACCUCCUCACCUGCAUGCCCCCUUCAGCAAGGGGUUAAGCACUGUGGGUUUGAGUGAGUAGAGCUUGCCCCUGCCGGUGCUGAAGCAGCUGACUAGUUCCAGUGCCUGCACUCCAGUUCCUGCCCACAGAGGGGUCAGGGAAAUUUCCUGCUUCAACAUCACUGUAGUGCUACAAAUGUACUAGGUUUAUUAAUAGUGCCCCACAAAUUAAAAAUAAAGUUAUGGCUGUUUUUCUAUUUUUUUAAAAAAGUCCAGUGGCCCUGAUAUAUGAAUACACAGUUAUUUUUCUAGGAACAGACAUAAAAAUUGGGAAUGCAUAUGCAUUCCUAGAGAAACAAAUUUUUGUUGUCACAAAGUAAACAAGCUUAUAUUAUUUGUUAGAGCUCAGAAACAAAAUGAUAACCUUAUAAAACAUUUAAAAAAGAACUAACACCAAUUCUACUGAAACUACUCUGCAUAAUAGAAGACAGAAUACUUCCAAAUUCAUUCUAUGAGCCAGUAUUACCCUGAUACCAAACCAGACAAAGACACAUCAAAAAAAGAAAAGAAAAACACAGGCCAAAUCCCUGAUGAACAUUGAUGCAAAAAUCCUCAACAAAAUACUAGCAAACUGAAUUCAACAACACAUUAAAAAGAUCAUUCAUCAUGACUAAAUUGAAUUUAUCCCAGGGAUGCAAGGAUGGUUCAACUUACACAAAUUAAUGAAGAUGAUACAUCAUAUCAACAGAAUGAAAGACAAAAAUUACAUGAUCAUUUCAAUUGAUACUGAAAAAGCAUUUGAUAAAAUUUAAUAUCUUUUCAUGAUUAAUAAAACCUUCAAAAAAUUGGUAUAAAGGAAUAUACUUCAACCCAAUAAAAGCCAAAUAGGACAGACCCACAGCUAGUAUCAUAUUGAAUGAAGGAAAACUGAAAACUUUUCCUCUAGGAUCUGCAACAUGACAAGGAUGCCUACUUUCACCACUGUUAUUCAGCAUAGUACCAGAAGUCCUAAAUGGAGCAAUCAAACGAGAAAGAUAUAAAGGGCAUCUAAAUUGGAAAGGAAGAAGUCAAAUUAUUCUUGUUUGCAGAUGAUAUAAUCUUAUAUUUGGAAAAACCUAAAGACUCCACACACACACACAAAAACUAUUCAAACUGAUAAGUUUGGUAAAGUUUCAGGAUAAAAAAAUCGACAUACAAAAAUUAGUAGCAUUUCUAUAUGCCAACAGCAAACAAUCUGAAAAAAAUUUAAGAAAGUAACCACAUUUACAAUAACUACAAAAAAUAACUGAGAAUUAGCUUCACCAAAGAAGUGAAAGAUCUCUACAGUGAAAACUAUAAAACACUGAUAAAAGAAGUUGAAGAGAAUACACAAAAAAUGAAAAGAUAUUUCAUGUUCAUAGAUUGCAAGAAUCAAUAUUAUUAAAAUGUCCAUAUAUCCAAAGCAUUCUGCAGAUUCAAUGCAGCCUCUAUCAAAAUAGCAAUGACAUUCUUCACAGAAAUAGAAAAAAAUAAUCCUAACAUUUAUAUGCAACCACAAAAGACCCAGAAUAGCCAAAGCUAUCCUGAGCAAAACAAACAAAACUGGAGCAAUCAUAGUACCUGACUUUAAAUAAUACUACAGAGCUAUGGAAACCAAAACAGCAUGGUACUGACUGGCACAAAAACAGACACAUAGACCAAUGGAUCAGAACAGAGAAUCCAGAAACAAAUUUAUACACCUACAGUGAACUCAUUUUUGACAAAGGUGCCAAGAACAUACACUGGGGAAAGGACAGUCUCUCCAAAAAGCAGUGCUGGGAAAACUGAAUAUCCAGAUGCAGAAACUAGACCCCUAUCUCUCACAAUAUACAUAAAUCAAAUUAAAAUGGAUUACAGACUUACAUAUAAGACCUAAAACUAUGAAACUACUGAAAAAAAAAAAGAACAUUGGAGAAACUCUCCUGGACAUUGGACUGGACAAAGAUUUCUUGAGUAAUGCCCCAUGAGCACAGGCAACCAAAGCAAAAAUGGGCAAAUGGAAUCGCAUCAAGCUAAAAAGCUUCUGCACAGCAAAGGAAACAAUCAACAAAGUGAACAGACAACCCAUAGCAUGGGAGAAAAUAUUUGCAAGCUACCCAUCUGACAAAGGAUUAACACCCAGAAUAUAUAGGGAGCUCAAACAACUCUAUAGGGAAAAAAAUCCAAUAAUCCUAUUCUAAAAUGGGCAAAAGAUCUGAAUAGACAUUUCUCAAAAGAAGACAUACAAAUGACAAACAGAUAUAUGAAUUGGUGCUCAACAUCAUUGAUCAACAGAGAAAUGCAAAUCAAAACUACAAUGAGAUAUCAUCUCACCUAAGUUAAAAUGGCUUAUAUCCAAAGAUAGGCAAUAACAAAUGCUGGCAAGGACGUGGAGAAAAGGCAACCCUUGUACACUGUUGGUAGGAAUGUAAAUUAGUACAAUCACCGUGGAGAACAGUUUGGAGUUUCCUCAAAAAACUAAAAAUAGAGCUACGAUAUGAUCCAGCAAUCCCACUGCUAGGUAUAUACCCAAAAGAAAGGAGAUCAGUAUAUUGAAAAGAUGUCUGCAUUUCUACGUUUGUUGCAGCACUGUUUACAAUACCUAAAAUUUGAAAGCAACCUAAGCAUCCAUCAACAAAUGAAUGGAUAAAGAAAAUGUACAUAUACACAAUGGAGUACUAUUCAGCCGUAAAAAAGAAUAAUAUCCUGUCAUUUGCAACAACACGGAUGGAACUGGAGGUCAUUAUGUUAAGUGAAAUAAGCCAGGCACAGAAAGACAAACUUUUGCCUGUUCUCACUUAUCUGUGGGAUUUAAAAAUAAAAACAAUUGAACUCAUGGAGAUAGUAGAAUGAUGGUUACCAGAGACUGAAAAGGAUAGUUUGGCAGUGGGGGUGAGGGGUAAGUGGGGAUGGUUAAUGGGUACAAAAAUAUAAUUAGAUAGAAGGAAUAAAAUUUAGUAUUUGAUAGCAUGACAGAGUGACUACUAUCAACAAUAAUUUAUUGUACAUUUAAAAAUAACUAAAAGACUAUAAUUGGACUGUUUGAAACACAAAGAAGAAUAAAUGCUUGAGAUGAUGGAUAUCCUAUUUACCCGGAUGUGAUUAUUAUGCAUUGUAUGUCUAUAUCAAAAUAUUUCAUGUACACUAUAACUAUAUAGAUGUACGAUGUACUCACAAAAAUUUAAAACAAAA